GCCUCUGUGGUGGAAUGGCAGACACGUAGCGUUCAGAACGCUAUGACCUCACGGUCGUGCAGGUUCGACUCCUGUCAGAGGCA
rfam:Parcubacteria group bacterium RIFCSPHIGHO2_01_FTLL_47_10b rifcsphigho2_01_scaffold_8037, whole genome shotgun sequence.